rnacentral:lncRNA from 1 species
AAUUUUGGAUGUGGGAGAUUCCCAGGUGGUAAAUUGUUUCGGCUGCUACAGCUCUCCAGCCCAAGUUGUUGACUGGCUAGUCUUUGACUGCCUCCCAACAUGUUAGUGAGGUCCUGAGCUGAUGUACCCUAUGGCGAAGAGUGAGGCACUAGUUUCCUGAAGUAAUGUAUAGCAUGAGAUGGCACCCAUUCUAAACAGCAGCCGGCACCAACUCUGGCCGACGUUGGAGUGGACAAGACCCAGAUCCUGUGGGGAGGAAAAGUCUACACUAAACUGUAAAAGGGUGUUGGUUUUUCUCACUGAAGCUACCACUCGUGCAAUUUUGAUUGGUGAUUGUGACUUAGUCCUCCUCGUGAUCUACGGCAAGAAAGUUGAUUGUGGCCAUACCUGUUGGAGUAGUAAAGACAAACGUUCAAAUUUUUCUUCUUGAUGUAACCCCCAAGCUGUAGGCUGCUGUUAUUUUAAGAGAAAGUGCAGCGGCCUGUUGGACCACCCGGACAGCGAGGCGCGAGAGUUGGAAGUGUUUCCACCAUUACGUCAGAUACUCCUCUGCCGCAGAUUUGGAAGAUCUGCAAUAUUGUGGGUUGUAGAAGGUCCUUCCAACAUAACUUCAGGAACAGUUGCAGAACAAUCGCUGGAAGUGUUAAAUGCUACAGAAAGUAGCAUAGUUGUCAGAAUUAGAGGGCCAAAAAUAUUGAUGGGAAAGUCGAACUUCAGCCCUGAGUUUGAAGGUGUUAAUUGCUUGACAUUCUGAAUUAGGUGGUAUGGAAGAUUACAAUGUCAUCAAAGCAUUGACUGGCUUCAGUGUGGUUGUUCUACUCUGCAAAUCUACGAAAGUUGGUGGAUGUUGUCCUUGGUACUCUGGUUUUCCCUGGCCUUUUGUUGAUCUUUGAGUCUUCAGUGGAUUGCAUCUAGGAGGAGCAGCUUCCCACAACCUGAAA